CAGAAGAAUUUUAGAACAUAUGAUAACGGAAAUGUCAACUAACAUUCUAUUGACGAGACUGUCGUAAUGAUGGGUCGUAGCCUGGCAUCAAGUUUGUCGUGAAAUUUGUGUUGUGUUUCUUGUGUCUUGGCAAAGCAUGUGAAUGGCCGAUGUUAACCUCAUGGGCAUGAUUUAAACAGACCUGUUGAGGACCACUUUACCCUGCUACACACGAUACAUAAAACAUCAGAGCGUCGUUAUUUAAUAGGAGUAAUGUUUUAAGUUUUUGUUUUAAAAACCUGUUGUGUUUUUCGCUGGCUACAUACAUGUGGAACUAUUUGAAAUACUAACUAUAAAUGUCACAUGAAAGAAAAGUUGGUGGAAGACGUACACCACACGACGCAUAAUAGGCCAUACCAAACGCUUAAACGUGGACGUUGUGCACAGGUGAGCGAAAAUCCGUAUAUAAUCUUGUAAGUAUUGUGAAAUGAAAAUACAAUAAAGCAGUAUUAUAUGUUA